rnacentral:lncRNA from 1 species
GGGAAACAAACUGGGAUAAUUUAUUUCUUUUUGGAUACACAAAACACAUUUUUGAAUGUUCCGACAGUUUCAUAACAAACAGUUUUCACUAUGGCUAUUAUAAAUCAAGGCAUACUUACACAGGAAAGUAUUCACAGACAUAAAAUUAGUUUAGCAGACAAGAGAAAAUGGAUAAAAGACAUGAGUAGUUGACAGUUAUGACUGAUGGAGAGAAGGUGUCUCUCAUUCACAAUAAUCCAGGAUUUGGAAUGAAAUGAAGGUCAACAGAGGAAGAACUCCAAGUCAGUGUCAGCCUGUUGGCAGCUGGAGCGCCACUGUCGCCAAGGGAGACAACUAGGCACUCACUGUCCCUUCUCCAUUGGUGACGUUUCCAGGGAUCAGGUGGGAGUUGAAAUGACAAGAGAAAGGGUUUUGUAAAUAAGGCCACAGGAAUUAUCACACUGCUCAGUGUUCUGGAUCAUCUGACUCAUCGCCACCUCUGACAAUGGCAUCCAGGCCUAUUCUGUGGAAGGGUCUCAUUUUCUUCUGUAUUGCAACUUCCAAAGUUUCAGGUCCAGUCCCCACAAUUAUUUUCCUUUAACCUCUCAGGCUGAAAUAUCAGAACAUUUAUAUCCUAUUCUUCCAGUUGUCAGAUUAGUUUCAUGUCCUCCUGCGGUUCUUCUCCAGCGUUAGCGUAUCUUUCCUCUGGUGUGGACACAGAGCUAUGUACAGUAUUCUGGAUGAGAACUCUUCUGUUUGUUUUACAAUGCCCUUCCUAAUGACCUCACAUUGGUGUUGCUCUCUGUGGCUAAAGAACCAUGCUAAUCUGGACUACCAUGUUCAAAGAACAAAAGGAUUGCCUAUGACACCCCACUGGCUUGCUUGCCUUGGUUUA